rnacentral:rRNA from 1 species
UACCUACGGGACGCAGCAGUGAGGAAUAUUGGUCAAUGGGCGCGAGCCUGAACCAGCCAAGUAGCGUGAAGGAUGACUGCCCUACGGGUUGUAAACUUCUUUUAUAAAGGAAUAAAGUGAGGCACGUGUGCCUUUUUGUAUGUAUUUUAUGAAUAAGGAUCGGCUAACUCCGUGCCAGCAGCCGCGGUAAUACGGAGGAUUCAAGCGUUAUCCGGAUUUAUUGGGUUUAAAGGGUACGUAGGCGGAUUGAUAAGUUAGAGGUGAAAUGUCCGGGCUCAACUCGGGAACUGCCUCUAAUACUGUUG